GGAAUGUCGUUAUCGGGUGAGAUCAUCUUUCGAGUCAAGAAUAGUAGAAAAAUGGUGUGGUAGUAAAAAAAAAGGGGGAAGAAAAAAGUGUGAGCUUAUCCACUUGAUGCGAUCUUGUGAAAUAAGAAACAAUUUACAGUCGCAAAUUAUUUAUCUUCAUUUACAAAUAUUUAAUUAUUUUACUAUAACAUUUCUAAACUUUUGAUUAAUUUUGUAAAAAAAAAAAUCUCAUUUUUGAAAAUUAAAAAAAACAAACAUUCUUUACGAGAUAUAUUGAAACAUAACCAUAUUGUGACAAAUAAAAAAUUGUAUACAACAAAAUGUCAAAAUUAAGAGGUUAAUAGAAUAAAAUACAAAAAAAAAAAAGGUUUUUACUUUCAAAAAGUAAAGAAAAGGAAAUGGUUUUUAAUCCUCUUAUUAAAGUUGGCAAAACUGCCGCGGGACUUCCACUUUUAUCUCUAUUAAUACAAGUUUGUAAACGAUUAACAAUACCAGUAUCACGACAAAUUAUAAAAUAUGGCAAAUCACAUCCAUUUUUUCGAAAAAAUUUUUUAAUUAUGCCCGGCCGUUAUUAUCAUCAAUUGGAAAUAAGAUCAAAAUCACUUUUUGAACAAAAUGAAAUUAUUAAAAAACAAGAGGAAAAAUUUCCACUAUUGGAUGAUUUAGCUGCAGAAGCAAUUGGAACACAAAUAAUGAUUGAGUGUGCAGCUUUGUUAAUUUUUGUAUGGCUCUCAAUGUCUGAAUCAAAAGCAAAAUCAUUGUCAUCUGAGAAUAAAAGGCUCAACGAUCUUGAUGAUAUGAAAAAUUGGAAAAAUGAAUUGGAACGAAAAGUUGAGGAACAGAGAAACACCAUUCAGGAUAUACUCAUGAAAGUUGAAAACAUAUUGUCAUAAACUUUUUAACUUUUCUCCGGAAAUCUUUAUCCAACGGUUCAUUUCCGCUUUUGGAAAUUCUCAUAUAUUCCUAGCAAUAGGGGAAAAACGGCUUACAAAAAAAAAUACAUAAGUAUGAGAGAGAAUAUAUUAUUGGAAUAUCCAUUGAGUCGAAGCAGCCAAAUAUAGAGAAGGAAAAUUAGCAUGAGUUUGCAUAGUGAUACACUUUUAUUUUAUCUAAUAUUAUAUAUAUACGCUAUGCAUUGGAAUCUGAAGCAGCAAUAUCCUCUAAAUUAUUUUAUGCGCCUUUGAGAAUAAAAGAAUUCAGAAUUAUAUAUUUUUGCCGAGAGAGAGAGAGAGAGGAUAUCAAACUGGUUUUUCUAUAAAAGACGAUGAUUUCCUUUAAA